rnacentral:rRNA from 1 species
CGAUCACGUUCAGAGUUUGAUCCUGGCUCAGGAUGAACGCUGGCGGCGUGCCUAACACAUGCAAGUCGAACGGGACUUAUUGAGACGAUUUCGGUCUGAUCAUUAAGUUUAGUGGCGGACGGGUGAGUAACGCGUGGACAACCUGCCUUUCACAGGGGGAUAGCAGCUGGAAACGGCUGGUAAUACCGCAUACGCUCGUGUCACCGCAUGGUGAUAUGAGGAAAGAUUUAUCGGUGAAAGAUGGAUCCGCGUCUGAUUAGCCAGUUGGCGGGGUAACGGCCCACCAAAGCGACGAUCAGUAGCCGGCCUGAGAGGGCGGACGGCCACAUUGGGACUGAGACGCGGCCCAG